UACGUAGGGUGCGAGCGUUAUUCGGAAUUACUGGGCGUAAAGCGUGCGCAGGCGGUUUUGUAAGUCAGCUGUGAAAUCCCCGGGCUCAACCUGGGAACUGCGGUUGUGACUGCAAGACUGGAGUGUGGCAGAGGGGGGUGGAAUUCCACGUGUAGCAGUGAAAUGCGUAGAGAUGUGGAGGAACACCGAUGGCGAAGGCAGCCCCCUGGGUCAACACUGACGCUCAUGCACGAAAGCGUGGGGAGCAAACAGG
rnacentral:rRNA from 1 species